GUUUUGUUUUCACUAACACCAACUUACUACCACUAGUUUUACACUACUUUUUGGAAUUCAUGGUCAAUAAACUUCAUGUAUAUAGAGUUAUACCUAAUAUUUGAGUUAAAAAAAAGCAGAAAUGAUGAAUUAUUUUGACUAAUAGUUAAGAUCAGAGGAGCGUAUGUUGAGUGGAUGAGUUUAGUCAGGAUACUGAUUUGAAACCAUUUCAAUUUUCACCCGAAAUUCAAUGAAAGUGAUCAAUUGUAUUUGCAAAGAGCUUGUAUGGAAUCCAUCCUUUUUUUGUGGUAGUUUGGUUAAAAAGAAACCCAUAUUUCUGAUAUAGACAUUUUU